CCCCCUUGUGGUCGGUGUACAGGUGGUGCAUGGCUGUCGUCAGCUCGUGUCGUGAGAUGUUGGGUUAAGUCCCGCAACGAGCGCAACCCUUGUCCCGUGUUGCCAGCAGGCCCUUGUGGUGCUGGGGACUCACGGGAGACCGCCGGGGUCAACUCGGAGGAAGGUGGGGACGACGUCAAGUCAUCAUGCCCCUUAUGUCUUGGGCUGCACACGUGCUACAAUGGCCGGUACAAUGAGCUGCGAUACCGUGAGGUGGAGCGAAUCUCAAAAAGCCGGUCUCAGUUCGGAUUGGGGUCUGCAACUCGACCCCAUGAAGUCGGAGUCGCUAGUAAUCGCAGAUCAGCAUUGCUGCGGUGAAUACGUUCCCGGGCCUUGUACACACCGCCCGUCACGUCACGAAAGUCGGUAACACCCGAAGCCCGUGGCCCAACCCGCAAGGGAGGGAGCGGUCGAA
rnacentral:rRNA from 1 species